rnacentral:rRNA from 1 species
UACGAAGGGGGCAAGCGUUGUUCGGAAUUACUGGGCGUAAAGGGCGCGUAGGCGGCUUAUCAAGUCAGGCGUGAAAUUCCUGGGCUCAACCUGGGGGCUGCGCUUGAUACUGAUUGGCUUGAAUGCGGGAGAGGAUAGUGGAAUUCCCAGUGUAGAGGUGAAAUUCGUAGAUAUUGGGAAGAACACCGGUGGCGAAGGCGGCUAUCUGGCCCGUAAUUGACGCUGAGGCGCGAAAGCGUGGGGAGCAAACAGG